GCACUGACACUUCAGCAGCACAUAUACUAAAAUUGGAACAAUACAGACAAGAUUAGCAAGGCCACUGUGCAAGGAUGACAUGCAAAUUCGUGAAGCAUUCCAUAUUGGG